UGAGGAAUAUUGGUCAAUGGGCUAAGGCCUGAACCAGCCAAGUCGCGUGAGGGAAGACGGUCCUAUGGAUUGUAAACCUCUUUUGUCGGGGAGCAACGAGGCCACGUGUGGCCGAAGUGAGAGUACCCGAAGAAAAGCAUCGGCUAACUCCGUGCC
rnacentral:rRNA from 1 species